rnacentral:rRNA from 1 species
CGAACGCUGGCGGCAGGCUUAACACAUGCAAGUCGAGCGAGACCUUCGGGUCUAGCGGCGGACGGGUGAGUAACGCGUGGGAACGUGCCCUUCUCUACGGAAUAGCCCCGGGAAACUGGGAGUAAUACCGUAUACGCCCUUUGGGGGAAAGAUUUAUCGGAAAAGGAUCGGCCCGCGUUGGAUUAGGUAGUUGGUGGAGUAAUGGCCCACCAAGCCGACGAUCCAUAGCUGGUUUGAGAGGAUGAUCAGCCACACUGGGACUGAGACACGGCCCAGACUCCUACGGGAGGCAGCAGUGGGGAAUCUUAGACAAUGGGGGCAACCCUGAUCUAGCCAUGCCGCGUGAGUGAUGAAGGCCUUAGGGUUGUAAAGCUCUUUCAGCUGGGAAGAUAAUGACGGUACCAGCAGAAGAAGCCCCGGCUAACUCCGUGCCAGCAGCCGCGGUAAUACGGAGGGGGCUAGCGUUGUUCGGAAUUACUGGGCGUAAAGCGCACGUAGGCGGACUGGAAAGUCAGAGGUGAAAUCCCAGGGCUCAACCUUGGAACUGCCUUUGAAACUAUCAGUCUGGAGUUCGAGAGAGGUGAGUGGAAUUCCGAGUGUAGAGGUGAAUUCGUAGAUAUUCGGAGGACACCAGUGGCGAAGGCGGCUCACUGGCUCGAUAC